UACGUAGGGCGCGAGCGUUGUCCGGAUUUAUUGGGCGUAAAGAGCGUGUAGGCGGCCUGAAAGGUCAGCUGUGAAAACUCGAGGCUCAACCUCGAGACGUCGGUUGAAACCAUCUGGCUAGAGUCCGGAAGAGGAGUGUGGAAUUCCCGGUGUAGCGGUGAAAUGCGCAGAUAUCGGGAAGAACACCCGUGGCGAAGGCGGCACUCUGGGACGGUACUGACGCUGAGACGCGAAAGCGUGGGGAGCGAACAGGA
rnacentral:rRNA from 1 species